rnacentral:rRNA from 1 species
GAUGAACGCUGGCGGCGUGCCUAAUACAUGCAAGUCGAGCGGACAGACGAGGAGCUUGCUCCUCUGACGUUAGCGGCGGACGUGUGAGUAACACGUGGAUAACCUACCUAUCAUACUGGUAUAACUUCGGGAAACCGGAUCUAAUACCGUAUAAUAUAUUGAACCAUGUGGUUCAAUAGUAAAAUACGGUUGUUCGGGCUCGUAUAGAUGGAUCUGCGCCUCAUUGUCUAGUAGUUAAGUUAACGGCUUACCAAGGCGACGAGGCGUGGCCGACCUGGUAGGGUGAUCGGCCACACUGGAACUGAGACACGGACAAGACUCCUACGGGAGGAAGCAGUAGCGAAUGUUCAGCAAUGGGCGAAAGCCUGACGCAGCAACGCCGAGCGAGUUACGACGGUCCCCGGAUCGUAAAAAUCUGUUAUUGGGGAAGAACAAAUGUGUAAGUAAAUAAGCCCGUCUUGACGGUAACUAAUAAGAAAGCAACGGCUAACUACGUG